CAAAGAGGAAGGAGCUCUCUCAUGGAAGGGAUGGAGUAUUUCCUGUGCCAGGACCAAAUUCCUCUGGUGACAACAGCAUCAGCUUUGCCAUGAUAAUGAUGGCCUGGGUGGUUAUUGCACUUGUGUUGUUCUUGCUGAGACCUAGUAAUCUAAGAGGAUCCAACACAGUUGGAAAGCCAACCAGUCCACAUAGCUGCUACAUUUAACAUUAAAAAAAAUCAAUUUGAAAGUACAGUAGAAUACUGAGACAGUCCAUAGAAGUUGCUGUGCAGAAGAGCAGAGAUAAGGGACAAGAACCACCUGCCCCACCUGUGGACUAGACCUUUAAAAUACCGGAAAUGUUCAGCAACUAAAAUCUUGCACGACCAAAUGAACGAAAGUGACUGGAGUACUCCUAAACCCCACUCAAUACUGUUUUCCUUUUGCAUUUACAUAAAGCAAGAUGUUAUUUUCAUAAACUGCUAGUCGCUAUUUCACUUUUAAAGUUAAUUUUUGCUUUAUAUGUUAUUGCCAUUGAAUAAGUGAUAAGGAGUUACAGGGGUCUUUUGGUUGUUGUAACUGCGGACAUUCCACUCUCUUUCUGUUACACUGAUCAUAAUUUCUUUGCAGUGGUUUCUGGCCUUAAUUGAAAUAAAGUUAAAAUCCAUGUGCAUUUUUAUAUUCAUAGAAUGUUAUUGAUUAUUUUUCAGAUUUAGUCACACAUUCCCCGCCCCCCACCCCCACACACGUUUUUGGAAGUUACUUUAUUAGUUGCAAUCAUUAACUUGAGUGUUUUGUGGUGGAAAAAAUUAGAAUUAUUUUAUAUUUACCUUGCUGCUCAAAGCAGCCUUUUGUUUAGUCUUUGAACUGAAUUUAAAUAGUUUUCAGAGUUGUUUGCCAAAGCACGGAUCAUCUUCUAGAAUUAAAGUCCAUGUGAGUGUAACCGCUGUCACAACCUUGCCUUAAAUAUUAGGGACUAAAACAGAAUUUUAUAUCUCCAAACACUGAAUUGCGUGUGUCAGUAAAUGAGAUAAAUUAGAAUCCAGUAUGUUGUUAAAGACGACUAAAACUUGAACAACCAUAUACUAAACUCUAAAACUGAAGUAAUUCUUUACAGACUUGAUAAAAUGACAAAUUAAAUGACAGUUAUCCUAAACAAUUUUCUGUCCUGGAUAUAAUCUUAAUCAGUAUCUUAACAGUCUUUAGCCCCAAUGCAUUAUCUAUUUAACAGGAUGAAAACAUACCAAACAAUCGCCUUCAGGAAUAUUCCACUUACUUACAAGUUGCUUUUGACUUACAUAUGAUUAGUAAUACUUAAAGUUUUGAUCUUUUUUUUUUACUGGCGAUUUGAUUGUACAAUAAAAAAAGCAAAGGUGAAGAUCUAGGGCAUAUCUUUUCCCUUUCAUGUUUACUUGCGUGGAUGUGUGCGCGUAUGCAUCUUCCAUUUUACCUAAUGGGAGUGAGGUUUUUUUACGUACAUUAAAUAAUUUAAGAACAUUUUAAAGAUGUACAGAAAAGUAACAUUGUAUAUUUUUCUUGAUCAAUUUAAAAAAUUGAUGAGGAUAACAUCAAGACACUCUUUUAUGUUAGUAGUUGUCUAUGAAGCUUCUUUCCAUGAAGGUCAGUAAAACCAAUCUGUGGAGAGUUAAGGGCCUUAUCCUGUAAACCUUUCCUCACGUGAGUCAUCUUACUCAUGUGAGUAGCCAAAAGGACUCCUAACAUUUAAUAAUGAUUUGCAUUAAUGAGCCUUAGAAGAGCACCUUGUUGGAUCCUUUUGUUACCGGAUACAAGUUUCUCUUCCUCAGGGUAAAUAAAUAGCAGGUCAGCCAAACCUCCUUGUAAAAAAUAUAGCAUGGACCUGAAGAAAGACUUCUAUAAUUUGAUGCAACUGAUUGUCCAUUGAACUUCUCUGGAACAAUGUGUUCACAACCUAUAGUUGGGAGCACUUGUGAAGUAGUAUUGGGCCAGAUUCUCUUAAUUACAUUAAUGCCACAUGCUGAAGACAGUGGAAUUUCAGAAGAGUAGUUGAAAGAACUUAUCCUAAUGUUAACUAAUGUCAUUCUAGGUCACAAAUAUUGUCUAAGGACCUCAUUGGGAUACCCAGUCCAACUAUGCUAGUUUUUGCCUGCCUUCUGCAUUUUUGUUUGAGAACUUUAGAACAGGGUAGGUAAUAUGGCAUCUUUUUUUUUUUUUUUUUUUUUAUUGAACCAACAAAAAAGUAUGCAAUCUACCAUGUUGGCAGUUUCCUGAGAAUAAAUGGCCAAAGGUCUUCAAAUCUGGGUGCAUAAAAUUGGACUUCAUUUCCAUAGUUAAGCAUAUACCUAGAAGGGGCUUUAUUUUAAAGAAACGGAACAAUGCUGGUGCCUGUUGAAGUCGGUAAGACUUGCAGGCACUUAGAACCUUUGAAAAUCAUAAUCUUUAUAUUUAAGUGCCUAAAUAUGUAUUUAGAAGAUUAACUUUGUGCACCCAGUUCAAAGAUUUUGGCAGAUUUAUGGCUCGGUGUUUUCUAUACAUUAUGACCAGAAAAAUUAUUAAGCUGUGUGUUCAAUUCAUCAACAGGUUUUCUUAAAAUUCCUCUCACUUAUUUUCUUUAAAUUCUUUUAAGUUUGUCCAAAAGGUUUUAUAUACAUAUAUACUUUCCUUAUGAAAAUACUGUUUUAAAUUUUCUAUGUAAAAGAGAAACAUUGCAAAUCUAUUUCAAAUGUUUAAAUCUAUGUAAAAUGUUUUAGUACAUAGCCAGGCCACUAUCCCAUGUCACCACAUAUAUCUUCUAAAUUCUGUGAUACUUUCUUCAAUAUAUAAACUUCUUGUCAUUAUUACUGCAUAAAGUAAAAGUAAUUUAUUCAUAUGAUUGUAUUUUGCUACUUUUAUUCAUGUUAAAUAGUACUUGAGUCAGCAAGCAGUUCCAUUAUAAUCUGUGGGACUGUCCUCUGAAUAAUGUACUAGCAACUUUACUGAGAGAGGCAAAAUACAGCCAUAACCAGUAUGAUAUGUGAUGAAAUAUUUAUCAUGGUUACAAAAUUGUACACAGUAAAUUUUGAAGAAGCUUGAAAGAAAUUUGUGAUAUACAAAGCUUUAGAAUGCGAUCAAUUGCAUAUUUAAUUACUUUAAACUCAGCUAGUUAAGAGAAACAAGUUUUAGUGACAUGAAGAAAGAUGAGAGUUUACAGUUAUAUUUUAGUUUAUAACUUUGUUAAAGCAGUAGUAUUUUAGAGUCUGCUUAACACCACUAUUCUGAAAUUAAAAGUUGUGUUAUUCAUAUAGUGUCUGCUGAUCACCUAUCCUUGUAAUGUUCAUUAUUGAAAAAGGAAAAGUGAUCAUGUAAAUUGGUGGUUUAAAAUGUCUGAAUCAUGCCAAACAAAAAAUCGUGUUUGUGCCAUUUAGGGUUUCCUGUUAAUCUUUUAUUGAGUACUUGGAUUGGGGAAAAAAGGGCUUGUACUAUGCACUUUUUAUUGACUUAAUGAAAUAAAUAGCAAACAUUAGUAA